GAUGAAGAACGCAGCGAAAUGCGAUAAGUAAUGUGAAUUGCAGAAUUCAGUGAAUCAUCGAAUCUUUGAACGCAUCUUGCGCUCCUUGGUAUUCCGAGGAGCAUGCCUGUUUGAGUGUCAUUAAAUUCUCAACUACACUGAUUUUUUUUGGUUGGUGUAGAUUGGAUUUGGGGGAAUUUUUUGCGGGCUUUGUAAAAUGAAGUCGGCUCCCCUGAAAUUAAUUAGUGGUACCUUAGUAGAACUGUCUACAGGUGUGAUAAUUUUUCUACGCCUCAGAUGUCUGCAUGAAAAAGGUUAUGCUGCUUCUUAACCUCACUAAUGAUAAUCUUGACCUCAAAUCAGGUAGGACUACCCGCUGAACUUAAGCAUAUCAAUAAGCGGAGGA
rnacentral:misc_RNA from 1 species